ensembl:misc_RNA Metazoa_SRP Metazoan signal recognition particle RNA
GCCGGGUGUGGUGGCGGGCGCCUGUAAUCUCAGCUACUCAGGAGGCUGAGGCAGGAGAAUUGCUUGAACCUAGGAGGUGGAGGUUGCAGUGAGCCAGAAUUGUGUCAUUGCACUCCAGCCUGGGUAACAGAGCAAGACUCUGUCUUAA